UACGUAGGGGGCAAGCGUUGUCCGGAAUCAUUGGGCGUAAAGCGCGUGUAGGCGGUUACGUAAGUCUGCUGUGAAAGUCGGAGGCUCAACCUUCGAAAGCCGGUGGAUACUGCGUGACUAGAGUACGGAAGAGGAGAGUGGAAUUCCUGGUGUAGCGGUGAAAUGCGCAGAUAUCAGGAGGAACACCAAUGGCGAAGGCAGCUCACUGGGACGGUAUUGACGCUGAGACGCGAAAGCGUGGGGAGCAAACAGG
rnacentral:rRNA from 1 species